rnacentral:misc_RNA from 1 species
AAGUCGUAACAAGGUUUCCGUAGGUGAACCUGCGGAAGGAUCAUUAGUGAAUAUAGCGCAUCUCUUCGGAGAGCGUGACCUCCACUUUCAACUCUGUGCAUUUUUUGGCGAGGGAACGAGACGAAGCGACGCAAGUUGCAGACUCUCGCCUCUUGCGGCUCAUUUUAAACACUAGUUAAAGUAUGUAACGAAAUAUCGAAACAAAAAAAAACUUUCAACAACGGAUCUCUUGGCUCUC